rnacentral:misc_RNA from 1 species
UGGUUCUGGCAGNGAUGAAGAACGCAGCGAAAUGCGAUAAGUAAUGUGAAUUGCAGGAUUCAGUGAAUCAUCGAAUCUUUGAACGCACAUUGCGCCCUCUGGUAUUCCGGGGGGCACGCCUGUUCGAGCGUCAUUUGUACCAAUCGAGCCUGCUCGGCAUUGGGCGUCGCCCCUCCAAGGGCGCACCCGAAAGGUAGCGGCGCGGUCGCCGGGCGAGGAACGCACUGGAAAAUCACCGUCUCCUGUCGUCCCGCGGCCGCCGCCGGAACCGGCCCCUCGUGGCCACCCCCAAUGAAUUGACCUCGGAUCAGGCGAGAAUACCCGCUGA